CCGAGGUGGCCCCUGCACACUCCACACGCCGGGAAGCUUCACGUUGCUUAAAUCAAAUGCACACUUAACCCCCUCAACUGUAGACGUUUGAAUUCUCUAUUUCAAGCUUGAAAGAAGGGGAGAUUACCCUGCAGGAAGACAGUGCGAUGUGGUAAAAAGAAGGUUUGGAAUCCUGUUGGAGUUGACUUGGGAACUUUGCUCUGCUGUUUCCCAGCUGGCUGGGAUCCCAGAGAAUCAGUAACUGUUCUCGCUAACUGGAGCAGAACAAACAUCUCCUGCAGUGAGGCAGAAAGAAGAGGCCUGGGGAAAAAGUGACCCAGGCUCAGGGCAUCAGGAACCUCGGCCAGCAUCUCUGCAUAUCUGAAGGUCUUCGAGGCAAGGCUCAGGCCAUGGAAGGUCCACAGAGAGAGUUUCAGAUCUACAUCAGAAAAGCCUUCUUGGUCAGUGUGUCCUGGGAGGGGGGGGCUGGACCUCCUGAGGGUGCAGCUGUGUCAGAGUGGAAGUCAGCAUGUGGGAAGCUACACAGUGCUUAAGGCUUCCCCAAAACAAUGGGUUCCUGUGAAAUGACUUCGUCACUGGUGUUCCAGUGAUGGGCCCAUUAUUCCAGAGGCUGGAGUUCUUGGUGUAAAGUAAGUGCGUGAAGUUCCCUGAUGUAGGUGGGACCGACGACUCCCUCCCGGGAAAUGGAACCACACAGAGACAAUGACCAGGUUCAGCUGGCUCCCUCAAGGGGCCCCUCACUCACCUUCAGGAGACCUUGGAAGCUGACCCAAGACCAAGGUUGCACCCUGUGGCUCAGCAUUUCAGAAUCCCCUGGCUACAAAGCUGACGGAAGAGACCAAACCCCCGCUGUGGCUUGUCCCUGCUCCUAGCACCUGUCUUCUGUCAUUUUGAAGCUUUAUAGAGAGAGGCACAGGAAACAGGACAUACUAGAAGUGUACAAUCUGGUUCCUCUCCUGCUCCAGGGCACACUUUGGAUGGAACAGCUCUGGAGUGCCUACUGUCCUGCUAGUCCCUUGCAGGAUGUCCCACAGGCUGAUGGAUACAGGCAGAGAUCACUGCCCCACAGCUGCCUCCCGCUGUGCCCUCAAUCUGAUCCCUGCUUGGUGCCCCCUGUCACCUGCUGGACAGAGCUCCGCACCUCAGCCUGGGGUUGCAGGACCUCCUACAUGGAGCCUUUGCCACCUCUGCAGGCCUUGCUCCCAUCACCCCUGUCCAUGCUACACACUCUGUGUGUGCUUUCUUCACCAUGUGCCUCCUGCAUGACUGACUCUGUCCUGCGGUAAGGGACGCACACAGGAACCCGGCCCCAUCCCGUCCUUGGACAGCUCAGAGUCUGGCACAGGGCUCGGGCUCACACUCAGUUCCGUGUGGUAAGUUCUGUGAUGGGUGGGCUGAGCGGGCCAAGGAGAGGCAGCCUCCACGCCUCUCCUCCUCUGUCCUCUGUGUGUCCCCAGUGUCCCUGGGUCACUCUGUCACAACCCUUGUCUCACCUUCUUGUUCUUGUUGCCUUACUCCUCAUUCAUGUGUGCUGUGUCCACAUUUCUUCCAGGCCAAGCCUGAGGCCUGGGAUGCACUUGGACUCAUUAAAUGUCCACUGACCUGACCUGAAUGAUUGGCUGCCCUUGUCUUAGGUGUAGGCCAUUCUUGGGAAUGAGCACCUGCUAACUAGGAGUCACCAGUGACACUUUGUAGAGAUUUCUGAAGGGUCUGUGGGCAGUGUGAUCAAGGCCACUUGUCCUACAGGCUGGUGGGGUUUGGAACAAGUCAUGGACUCAGACACUCCUCUAUCUGCUCAGGAGACCCAGCCUUCCACCCCCUCGGUGCCUCGCAACAGGCCUCAGCCUCCUCUAUUUCCGUUGAAAGAGGAUAAUUCCAAAGUCUGUUUUCCCUAAUUGGAUUUGUGGUUUUGUUUGGUUUCUGGCUAUUAACCACCCCUCACUUUGGGGCCUCUUCAGCUCUGCCCCCAACUCCCUGCUGCAUUUUUCUACCCAUUGUCUGUGGUAGAUAUUGCCUGGAUCUACCAUGACCCCAGCCAGGAGAGAGGCACCGCGGUUCACUGCAAAGAGGGUACAACACGGACCCUCAGUCCAGCUGCACCACAUAUUGGCUGGGUGAGCUGGGGCCCAUCGCUUUAUGUCUCCGAGUCUUGGUUUCAGGUACACUAGCUCACUUCAUAUGACGGCUGAGAAGCAACCUGUGGAAAGGUACUUCAUCCAUCCCUGAUGACAACGUGAAGUCACAUCUUGAUAAAGUACCCAAUUACCACUGACUGCAAAUGCUUACCUGCUAGACUCCUACUGUCUGGGAAAUCCUGUGAGGCUAGUUCUUGUUCAUGAGUCUUCAGUGCUGAUCCUGGCUGUCCCUCCACUGCCCUGCCCGUGAUGGCUGAUGGGGGCUGUGGUGUCACUGCUUUCCGCUAGGGGCUCCCAUCCCUCAUCAUCCCAGAUGCAAACCCAAGCACAGGGCUGGCCUUUCUCUUAAUUCUCUAUAGCUCAGCCAAGAAGAAACUUCAACGUUAGAUACAUUUUCCUAAAGGUUCUGUAUUCAGAGAAGGGAAGAAUUGUACCAAGAGGAACUUGUUCCUGCUCUAGACGGGGCUGUGCUCAGAUCCGAAGGACCUGCGGACCCUGCCGAGCAAGGGCAACUUCACUUCCAGCUGCCUCAUGUAACAAAGGCCGGCUCAGCUCAGAGAAGGCUGGAGUCCCCUCAUCCCCGUCUAUCAUCUGCCCCUUUCCCCACCUCCUUCCCUGGGGCCACUCAUUUCCCAACAUGAUUGACAGUGGAAAUAUCCAGUCCCUUCAAGGGAAGCCCCACUCCACAGGUGUCCGGGAACAGUUAGUCAGGCUUAUUGACCUCAAAUAACUCCAUUCCAAGGACACUGGGUCCCGUCCAGUUCCCUUUCCCAGUCUUUCCUCCCACAAGGGGUCAGGCAGUGAUGUCAGCACGCUCUCUCCGAGGUCGGGAGCCUCUCUGUGGAUUAGUGCCCCGCAAGGGACCGGCAUUUCCUCAGGAGCCAGCUCCAGUUUGCAGCACAUUCACUUCUUACAGAAGCAAGAAAAAAUUCUUACAGCUUCCACUCGUACCCCCACCACCCUUCUGCCUCAUGGAAGGGCAUGUAGGUCACCGCUGCUGAACAGAAGCCUAAGAUAAUUCUUGGUUUAAAAAAUUUGUUUUCAGGUUAAUGGUGAUUUUAUGGUUUUCUCCACAAACAACCGGUGAGUAUUUGUGUAACUAAAAAGCACAUCAUGGUGAUUUUCCUAAAAUAAAGAGUUUACUCUGUAAGAUAAAUGCCAGAUUCUUAGGAGCAAAUAUAAAGGUGUUGUGGCUUCUUUUUUUAAGCACGAGAGACCACACUCACCAACUCAACAUGCUAAGCUUUUUUUUUUAAAUCCUUACCUGAGGAUAGAUUGAUUGACUUUGGAGAGGAAGAGGGGGGGAGAGAGAGAUUGUUGUACGAGAGACUCAUCCGUCACUUGCCUCCCACUGUGCUCCAACCAGGGAUUGAACCCACAACCUAGGUCUGUGCACCACCAGGGACUGAACCCGCAGCCUUUUGGUGUAUGGAAUGACACUCCAAACCACUGAGCCACUCGGCCAGGGCUCAACAUGCUAAGUUUUUAUGAAUCGCAGUGUCCAGGGGCAGGAAGCGGGACCCUUCCCUCCAAUGCAUGUGAGCCAUCUUGAGGAUUAUAGAUUCCCAGGCAGUCGGGAAUCCUGGAAUCAUCCAAUCUAUCCCCAGGAAUCAGGUGACCUCCUAGUAACAUCCCUAUCGGGUGAUGUCUCAGGUCUGGCUUGCGUGCCUUUCAUGAAGGGGAACUUGGUCUUUCCUCGACUGGUCCAUCACGGACCGGCUUCCACAGCCGGCUCAGUCCCAGUCCUUGGGGACACAGAGAACCUGCUCUUCCUGGGACAUCACCCUAUUGAUGUGCCCACUGUGGACAUAGUGUCUGACUGUCUCCAAGCUGAGGCUGGGUGCCCCGAUUUCCAUCCCACCCUUUCUGCCCUCAGCCCCCCAAGCCCAGGCCCAUGGUGUUCUGUGAUACAAAGUCUCCAGUCUGGCCUUCUCCUGGGGACAUGGCCCAUCUGCCUGGCUCUGUCCCAUCAUCUGCCCACUGCGGGCAGAACCGGGAGUCAGAGCUGCUGUCCGAAUUCUGGCAAACACACUCCAAACUAAGGCAGAUUUUUUUCUCAUUAGAACUUCUUAUGGCAUGUUUGUUAAUAGGCUGAAAGGUGACCAACACAAGACUUGCAAUUACAGACGUAUCGAGAUACACUCUCACGGGUACCUGUGGUAUACAAGGACAGUCUGCCUUGUCUAAAUGAAAGCAGAAUGACUUUCAUGGCAACACAAGGAGGUUCUGGGGGCAUGAAGCCUGAACGCUACCCCUCCCUGCCUGUUCGCCAGCUGCCUCUCAGUGCCCUCUCCGAAGCAAGGCUGGUCUACCAGUGCUUUUCUGGGGAAGCAAACCAAUUUGCCACAAAUCACUUCAACGGUGGUCAAGUUGUCACAUGGUCAAUUUGGCCAAUGACCAAUUUGCAGGCUAUUUUUAAAAAUCUGUGUUUUGCCACAGCAAUUUUGCCAUUUAUGGUUGAGUUGCUGGCCGCAGGUAUUGAGUUUGGGGCAGGGCUGCCCUGGAGGCAGAGCUCAGAGGAGCAGAAGCUGUGGGCUUUCUCACGCUGGUCGGGCUUGGAUGGCUGGAGGAACCGUGCACCAGGACCUGUGGAACUGGUGCAGGCGCAGAAGACCACUGCAGCGAUGGGGACGGAAACCGGGGAAGCAGACCCAAGCAAGACCUGGGACAGUUGUGUCUUCCUGAAACGGAUCUGGGCGAGAGCAAGGGGACUUGAGCACCACAACGAAGGAGAAUGGGAGCUCCUGAAGAGGUCCAGUGGUAACUAAGUAGAGAUGUUCGGAACUUAGAAGGAAGUGGCUCCUGAAUUUCAAAAUAUAGACAUGAAUUAGAAGAUUAUUUCUUUGGAGAAUUAAAGUAAUGGUUGUAUUACAAGAUCAGGUGUAGAAAUAUGUGAAAAUAUAGAGCUUAAAUUUAAAGAGGAGAAAAGAGAGAGAGAGA